rnacentral:lncRNA from 13 species
CUACUACGUCCCAAACACUGUCAGAGGCUUAAGAUACCCUCAUUCACUUAAUCCUUAAAGCCAUUAAAUUCCAAAAGAACUUUGCAUCAUAAUCAGAACUUCAAAUGGGUGUCCUGCUUGGUUCACUUACUGAUGGUGUUUUUACAUGUCACGUCAUCUUCAUAUUAUCAGGAAGUCAAGAUGUGAUAUUAUUUUGAGUAGAGGUGGGUCAAUUUUUCCCCAGGUGGCUUCUGUAGAUGAAGACCAAGCCUGUUGGUGACUACAACCACGGGGUUGAGUGGUACAAUGAGACAGCUCUGCAACACUGGACUUGGGACUCUUCAAAGAUGCCCUACUGGUGCUAGACAGGUCAACUUGAAAAGAAAACAAAGGCAUUGGAAAGAGGCCCAAGGGACUUGAGGUCAAAUUUCAGCUCCAUAACUUACCAGGCUCCAAUCAUGAAGAAAUAUUACUUCAGGAAAGAAUAGAGAAGCCACAUCGCUACUAACUGUUGACAUGUUUGUCAUAGGAUUCAAUGUCUGAAAUAAAGCACUGCAGGUCUGACUGGUUCUGUUGUCU